ensembl:lncRNA
CCGUAAUUUAGGUCUUUAGAAAAUCGAACAAUAUAUAAGAGUUUCAUGUCCCAUUGAGAAGAGAAAGUUCAGGGGGCAGAGUUUAUCACAUAUUAGUGGCGGUGAGGUAAUAUCAUCUGGUUGGUGGUGAGGUAAUACCAUCUAUCAUCUAGUUGGCGGUGAGGUAAUACCAUCUAUCAUCUAGUUGGCGGUGAGGUAAUACCAUCUAUCAUCUAGUUGGCGGUGAGGUAAUACCAUCUAGUUGGCGGUGAGGUAAUACCAUCUAUCAUCUAGUUGGCGGUGAGGUAAUACCAUCUAUCAUCUAGUUGGCGGUGAGGUAAUGCCAUCUAUCAUCUAGUUGGCGGUGAGGUAAUACCAUCUAUCAUCUAGUUGGCGGUGAGGUAAUACCAUCUAUCAUCUAGUUGGCGGUGAGGUAAUGCCAUCUAUCAUCUAGUUGGCGGUGAGGUAAUAUCAUCUAUUUGAGGUAAGUUACUGCAACUCUGCCACGUUUGAAAGAAAUGGGAAUGAGAACUUGUAACGUUGCAUGGGUCAUUGUGAUAAGUACUUGGUAUCGUUGUGAUGAUGAUAAGUACUAGGUAUCGUUGUGAUGGGGAUAAGUACUAGGUAUCGUUGUGAUGGGGAUAAGUACUAGGAAUCGUUGUGAUGGGGAUAAGUACUAGGAAUCGUUGUGAUGGGGAUAAGUACUAGGUAUCGUUGUGAUGGGGAUAAGUACUAGGAAUCGUUGUGAUGGGGAUAAGUACUAGGAAUCGUUGUGAUGGGGAUAAGUACCAGGUAUCAUUGGUAUAGUGCUAUGUACUAGGUAUCAUGGUGAUGGGGAUAUGUACUAGGUAUUGAUGUGUAUUAUUCUAGAGAGUCUCUGGUCAGAGGUAGAGGCCACUCAUUUUGACACCUAGAGAGCCUCUGGUCAGAGGUAGAGGCCACUCGUUUUGACACCUAGAGAGCCUCUGACCAGAGGUAGAAGCCACUCGUUUUGACACCUAGAGAGCCUCUGGUCAGAGGUAGAAGCCACUCGUUUUGACACCUAGAGAGCCUCUGACCAGCGGUAGAAGCCACUCGUUUUGACACCUAGAGAGCCUCUGACCAGCGGUAGAGGCCACUCGUUUUGACAGGAGCCACAUAGAGAACCUCUAUAUCGGACAGCGUGUCAUUUGAAAUGAAAACGUAGAUCUAACGACAACCAGGGUUUGGCAAGGGAUACGUCUUUUAAUUUAGACCGUGACGAACCUAACCGCGGAAAUUCUAGUGAAGAGAUGUAUUUGCACACACACUUCAUGCAUACAACACCAGAAGACGGUACACUGUACACACGGACGAGUGUUACACAACAGGGAAAAACAACUUCCAUAAUCCAGUUUUUUUUAUUUGGAAUGAACUUGGGUUUUCUUUUUUUGUGUUCUAUUUCUACAGGUUUUGGUUUUCCGAUGCACUAUGUUUUUUAUUACGUCGUUUUGCCACUUCCUGUUAGGCACUUUUGAAGUUCUGCACUUCGAAAAACAUGUUUUAAUUCAAUAAUGCACCCAACCCCACCCCACAGUGCAAUGCUCCUAUUGAAAAGAUGAAUACUGGAGGUGGAAGGUAUGACGCAAAGGAUUGUUAAAGUGAAACAAGCAAAUUCACAGCAUCAUUUCAUACCUCUUUUUUUUUUUAAAUUUUUUUAGAGAAUAUCAGAGAGAAUGUGACAUUUCUGGGAUUUUUGUUUCUUGAGGAAGUUUACGGUGUAAUUCCUGAUAUUAAGGAAACCUAUUUUCUUCCUCUGACUGAAGAUUGUUUGAUGUUAUGCCCUUAAACACAGAUCUAGAAUCAGCUUACCUGCAAUCAUAACCUUGAAUAUCAAUUGGAUGGAUGGGGGAGGGGGGGUUCAGUUAUAGCUGAACUCAGAUCAGUGUCUAUGGGUUGAGUGGAGCUUAUGGAUCCCAAACGUCUGGUAGUGUGACCACUGACUGCAGUUGUGUGAGGGAAGAGACAUAUAUGUCCAAUGGUUAUAUUCUCAUCGGAGUCUGGUAGCAGCUUGUUCUGUGGAACCAUCCAUUUCCCCUUGUGGAGUUGAACCAACUGGGUUGAGCUAAACUACAUCGGAAUAGUAGGAUUUUUAGUUUGUUUGGUAGCGAAACAAAGUGAAUGUGGACGAUGGGUUUUAAAAUAUUAUUUUUUUACUUUUCUAAAAGUCUGAAGUGUCUUUUUUGGAAGGUUAUCUUUAUUUUUUAUUUAUUUUUAUUUUACCUUUAUUUAACUAGGCAAGUCAGUUAAGAACCAAUUCUUAUUUUCAAUGACGGCCUAGCAACAGUGGGUUAACUGCCUGUUCAAGGGCAGAACGACAGAUUUGUACCUUGUCAGCUCGGGGUUUGAACUUGCAACCUUCCGGUUACUAGUCCAACGCUCUAACCACUAGGCUACCCUGCCGCAGCAGCAGCAGGAUUUCCUCAUUUUGGGGGGGUGGCUGGCUUCUUCAUUUGCUAGCUGUGAGAGAACCCUUGUCAUUCCACCUGUUUAUAUAGCAAGUCAUUUCCUUAUGGUUCUAUUGUCCUACCUGGUGUGGUGUCUCGGUAGGUUGAGCCUGUGAGGUUGUGAGCCAUGACUUUAUGCAAUGUCUUACCAUAUUAUAUGUCCAACUGCAAUGAGGAUGAUUUAUGGUCUGCAAUGAGGAUGAUUUAUGGUCUGCAAUGAGGAUGAUUUAUGGUCUGCAAUGAGGAUGAUUUAUGGUCUGCAAUGAUGAGGAUGAUUUAUGGUCUGCAAUGAUGAGGAUGAUUUAUGGUCUGCAAUGAUGAGGAUGAUUCAUGGUCUGCAGUGAUGAGGAUGAUUUAUGGUCUGCAAUGAUGAGGAUGAUUCAUGGUCUGCAGUGAUGAGGAUGAUUUAUGGUCUGCAAUGAUGAGGAUGAUUUAUGGUCUGCAGUGAUGAGGAUGAUUUAUGGUCUGCAAUGAUGAGGAUGAUUUAUGGUCUGCAAUGAUGAGGAUGAUUUAUGGUCUGCAAUGAUGAGGAUGAUUUAUGGUCUGCAAUGAUGAGGAUGAUUUAUGGUCUGCAAUGAUGAGGAUGAUUCAUGGUCUGCAAUGAUGAGGAUGAUUCAUGGUCUGCAAUGAUGAGGAUGAUUCAUGGUCUGCAAUGAUGAGGA